GACGAACGCUGGCGGCGUGCCUAAUACAUGCAAGUCGAGCGCAGGAAACUGGCGGAACUCUUCGGAGGGAAGGCAGUGGAAUGAGCGGCGGACGGGUGAGUAACACGUAAGGAACCUGCCUCAAGGAUUGGGAUAACUCCGAGAAAUCGGAGCUAAUACCGGAUAGUUCAACGGACCGCAUGGUCCGCUGAUGAAAGGCGCUCCGGCGUCACCUUGAGAUGGCCUUGCGGUGCAUUAGCUAGUUGGUGGGGAAACGGCCCACCAAGGCGACGAUGCAUAGCCGACCUGAGAGGGUGAUCGGCCACACUGGGACUGAGACACGGCCCAGACUCCUACGGGAGGCAGCAGUAGGGAAUCUUCCACAAUGGACGAAAGUCUGAUGGAGCAACGCCGCGUGAGUGAUGAAGGUUUUCGGAUCGUAAAACUCUGUUGUAAGGGAAGAACACGUACGAGAGGGAAUGCUCGUACCUUGACGGUACCUUACGGGAAAGCCACGGCUAACUACGUGCCAGCCGCCGCGGUAA
rnacentral:rRNA from 1 species